AGUCGAGGGGCAGCAUAUAGAUUGCUUGCAAUUUAUGAUGGCGACCGGCGCACGGGUGAGUAACGCGUAUCCAACCUACCCAUUACUAGGGAAUAACCCAGCGAAAGUUGGCCUAAUGCCCUAUGUAGUCGUUUGAUCGCCUGAGAUUUCGACGAAAGAUUUAUCGGUAUUGGAUGGGGAUGCGUCUGAUUAGCUUGUUGGCGGGGUAAAGGCCCACCAAGGCAACGAUCAGUAGGGGUUCUGAGAGGAAGGUCCCCCACAUUGGAACUGAGACACGGUCCAAACUCCUACGGGAGGCAGCAGUGAGGAAUAUUGGUCAAUGGGCGAGAGCCUGAACCAGCCAAGUAGCGUGCAGGAUGACGGCCCUAUGGGUUGUAAACUGCUUUUAUAUGGGAAUAAAGUGAGGGACGUGUCCCUUAUUGCAUGUACCAUACGAAUAAGGACCGGCUAAUUCCGUGCCAGCAGCCGCGGUAAUACGGAAGGUCCAGGCGUUAUCCGGAUUUAUUGGGUUUAAAGGGAGCGUAGGCUGUUUGUUAAGCGUGUUGUGAAAUGUAGGAGCUCAACUUUUAGAUUGCAGCGCGAACUGGCAGACUUGAGUGCGCACAACGUAGGCGGAAUUCAUGGUGUAGCGGUGAAAUGCUUAG
rnacentral:rRNA from 1 species